UAAAAUAAGGUUAUUUACUUCAAAAUGAUACAUUGGACAUAAUCUGUAUAUAGAACAAAGCAAGUAAUGGUAAACUCUUAAGGCACCUUUUAAACCAGAUGCUGUACAAAAUACAUUUAGUGUGUUACACGUCAAAGACGAAUCUAUAUUUUUGGUGUUUUACAACUGCCUGAUAAAACUGCUUGCUUUUACCCUUCUUUCAAUGCCUAUGUACAGUUUCCCCUAAUGAAGCAAUAAUGAUAUUUCCAUUUUAUACAAUAUAUACUACAUUUUAGUUUUUAAAUGGGCCAGGACAAAGGUCACUAAAAGGGCUUAAAUAAUUCCAUAGAAAACAGAAUACAGAGCAUAAGCUAAAAUUACAAUAGUUAAUCCUUUACAAGAGCCAUAUUCACAUACUUUCCUUAUGGGACCAUCAUUACACGUGGCUUCACAGGAUGCUGUGCUGGAUUUUGGUUCUUAGGAACACACCUCCUCCCUGCAGUUUCCACUGUGACUCUCACAGCAGCACACUAAGGCAAGAGACGAGCUGUGGCACUGCUAUUUUAACACCUGACUCAAAGUCAGUAAUAAAUAUGACCACUUUUAAACACUACAAGGGCUAUCAUAAUCUUUUGUUAAAAUAAAAAUCAUUUCUGCUGUUGAAAUGAUUUUAGCAAGUUAACAUCCUUAUUCCACUCUAAUUCC
rnacentral:lncRNA from 1 species